GACGAACGCUGGCGGCGUGCUUAACACAUGCAAGUCGAGCGGUAAGGCCCUUUCGGGGGUACGACGAGCGGCGAACGGGUGAGUAACACGUGGGUGACCUGCCCUCAGCUCUGGGAUAAGCCUGGGAAACUGGGUCUAAUACUGGAUAUGACUCCACGGUGCAUGUCGUGGGGUGGAAAGCCUUGUGCGGCUGAGGAUGGGCCCGCGGCCUAUCAGCUUGUUGGUGGGGUGANGGCCUACCAAGGCGACGACGGGUAGCCGGCCUGAGAGGGCGACCGGCCACACUGGGACUGAGACACGGCCCAGACUCCUACGGGAGGCAGCAGUGGGGAAUCUUGCGCAAUGGGCGAAAGCCUGACGCAGCGACGCCGCGUGAGGGAUGACGGCCUUCGGUUGUAAC
rnacentral:rRNA from 1 species